GUACUCAUUUUGGCAGCAUAUACUAGAACUGGAAAAAUACAAAGAAGAUUAGUAUGGACCAUGAACAAAGAUGACAUGUAACUUUGCGAACCAUUCCAUAUUUUU
ensembl:snRNA U6 U6 spliceosomal RNA